AUUGAACGCUAGCGGGAUGCCUUACACAUGCAAGUCGAACGGAGUGGCGAACGGGUGAGUAAUGUAUCGGAACGUGCCCAGUAGCGGGGGAUAACUACGCGAAAGCGUAGCUAAUACCGCAUACUAUUGGAGCGGCCGCUGUCGGAGUAGCUAGUUGGGGGGGUAACGGCUCACCAAGGCGACGAUCCGUAGCUGGUUCGAGAGGACGACCAGCCACACUGGGACUGAGACACGGCCCAGACUCCUACGGGAGGCAGCAGUGGGGAAUUUUGGGCAAUGGAGGAAAGCCUGAUCCAGCCAUGCCGCGUGUGUGAUGAAGGCCUUCGGGUUGUAAAGCACUUUUGGCAGGAAAGCGGUAUCUAAAGAGUAAGCAACGGCUAACUACGUGCCAGCAGCCGCGGUAAUAC
rnacentral:rRNA from 1 species